rnacentral:rRNA from 1 species
GCGGGAGUGCCUUCGGGAAUCGGAACACAGGUGCUGCAUGGCUGUCGUCAGCUCGUGUCGUGAGAUGUUGGGUUAAGUCCCGCAACGAGCGCAACCCUUGUCCUUAGUUGCCAGCAUUCAGUGGGGCACUCUAAGGAGACUGCCGGGGACAAACCGGAGGAAGGGGGGGAUGACACCAAAUAAUAAUGCGCCUUAUGACCUGGGCUACACACGCGCUACAAAGGGUGGGACACAGGGGUGCGAAGCCGCGAGGGGAAGCCACUCCCACAAAACCAUUUUCAGAUCGGAUUGCGGGCUGUAACUCGCCUGCAUGAAACCGGAAUCGCUAGUAAUCGUGGAUCAGAAUGCCACGGGGAAUACGCUCCCGGGCCUUGACACACC